AACAUCGCGCACCUGCGGGAACCUGCGGAGGGAUCAUUACUGAAUAAAAUCUGGUCUGGUUGCGUUGUCGCUGGCCUCCUGGAGGCAUGUGCACACCCUGCCGCCACCUUAUUCAUCCAUCUAUACUUACCUGUGCAUCUCCUUGUAGGAUCAGGAUUUGUAUCACCAUUUCUUCAAACCUUUCCUUCCCUUCUUCAGGAGGGGGGGUUGAGGGAAGGAGAAAAGUGUUUUUGGAAUUUU
rnacentral:misc_RNA from 1 species